rnacentral:rRNA from 1 species
UGGGGAAUAUUGCACAAUGGGCGGAAGCCUGAUGCAGCAACGCCGCGUGCGGGAUGACGGCCUUCGGGUUGUAAACCGCUUUCGCCUGUGACGAAGCGUGAGUGACGGUAAUGGGUAAAGAAGCACCGGCUAACUACGUGCCAGCAGCCGCGGUGAUACGUAGGGUGCGAGCGUUGUCCGGAUUUAUUGGGCGUAAAGGGCUCGUAGGUGGUUGAUCGCGUCGGAAGUGUAAUCUUGGGGCUUAACCCUGAGCGUGCUUUCGAUACGGGUUGACUUGAGGAAGGUAGGGGAGAAUGGAAUUCCUGGUGGAGCGGUGGAAUGCGCAGAUAUCAGGAGGAACACCAGUGGCGAAGGCGGUUCUCUGGGCCUUUCCUGACGCUGAGGAGCGAAAGCGUGGGGAGCGAACAGGCUUAGAUACCCUGGUAGUCCACGCUGUAAACGGUGGGUACUAGGUGUGGGGGUCCAUUCCACGGGUUCCGCGCCGUAGCUAACGCUUUAAGUACCCCGCCUGGGGAGUACGGCCGCAAGGCUAAAACUCAAAGGAAUUGACGGGGGUCAUAGCUGUUUCCU